rnacentral:pre_miRNA from 1 species
GCAGUGCAGAGGAAGAAAGAGAGAGCUUGAGAGCACUCGGAGUGGGAACAUGAGGGAAAACCUUGCUUGUUUGUUUGCACCUCUAGUGUUGAAGGUGCAAAUAUUUGGCAUGGAUCUUUUCCUGAUAACCCCCAUUCCUAUCAUUCUUGCACACUCCUUCCUCUCCUUUUUGAUU